CACUACUGUCUCCUCUGACAUCCAUCUGUCAGGCUAUCACUACUGUCUCCUCUGACAUCCAUCUGUCAGGCUAUCACUACUGUCUCCUCUGACAUCCAUCUGUCAGGCUAUCACUACUGUCUCCUCUGACAUCCAUCUGUCAGGCUAUCACUACUGUCUCCUCUGACAUCCAUCUGUCAGGCUAUCACUACUGUCUCCCCUGACAUCCAUCUGUCAGGCUAUCACUACUGUCUCCCCUGACAUCCAUCUGUCAGGCUAUCACUACUGUCUCCUCUGACAUCCAUCUGUCAGGCUAUCACUACUGUCUCCUCUGACAUCCAUCUGUCAGGCUAUCACUACUGUCUCCUCUGACAUCCAUCUGUCAGGCUAUCACUACUGUCUCCUCUGACAUCCAUCUGUCAGGCUAUCACUACUGUCUCCUCUGACAUCCAUCUGUCAGGCUAUCACUACUGUUUCCCCUGACAUCCAUCUGUCAGGCUAUCACUACUGUCUCCUCUGACAUCCAUCUGUCAGGCUAUCACUACUGUUUCCCCUGACAUCCAUCUGUCAGGCUAUCACUACUGUUUCCCCUGACAUCCAUCUGUCAGGCUAUCACUACUGUCUCCUCUGACAUCCAUCUGUCAGGCUAUCACUACUGUCUCCCCUGACAUCCAUCUGUCAGGCUAUCACUACUGUAUCCGCUGACAUCCAUCUGUCAGGCUAUCACUACUGUUUCCCCUGACAUCCAUCUGUCAGGCUAUCACUACUGUCUCCCCUGACAUCCAUCUGUCAGAUAUCACUAUUCCUCCCUUUUGCUCUCAAACUCUCUGACAGUCUUUCCUUUCUCUCACUCCCUCAGUCCCUCUUUCUCGCUCCCUCCUUGUCUCUCUAUCUCUCUCUCUCCCCCGUCUCUCUCUUUCUCUCCCUCACUCUCUCAAUCCAUUUUAGCUUGUAGUUUUUGCCGAAGAAUAAGUCCCGGUUAGAGGAAAUCAAUAGGGAGUCUGGCGUGACAAGCGUAUUCUUCUGGACACCGUGUUAAAUGAGGUAAUCCUGGACAGAGGACAGAUUGAUGGAGCAAGCUGACAGACGGAUCGAAGGAGGAGGAAGGAUACGGGUGGGGGGAGUGAAUUGGAGGGUGGCCACCCACAUCGGUGAAGACUGGAUUUCUUGAGAAAAUGUUUUAAUUUGAAUCUCCACUAAAGGAUAGUCAAUUAUAGUGGUGUCUUAAUCUCAGUAGUCCACCGGGAGGGAAGGAAGAUGAUCUCUGAAUUAGAUUUUGGAAGGUGAGACUGAAGAGAAGACACAGCACCCCAAAGCAAUACUCAAACAUUCCCUUUCCUUCGGUGAACAUUGAUAAUUGAACCAAGUGGAUAAGCUUCAACUUGACUAUUUAUACCUUUAAAGUGAUUUCAGGUCCAAGAUCAGGAAAGAAAGGAUAGGUAAGUAGAGAAGGCUACAUCCUAAACUGCGCCAAAAUAUUCCCUAGUCUCCAACCUUGUCUCCUUUCCUUGAUUACAAGUCCCUCUCUCCCCCACUCUCUCUCUCUCUCUCUCCCCCCUCUCUCUUCACUCUUCCUCUCUCUCUACUCUCUCUCUUCCCUUUCUCUCUCUCUCUUCUCCUCGUCUGCCUCUCUCUCUUCCUUCGGGCAUCUCUGAUUACAGGUCCUUUCAUUGCUUGAGGGGAGGUUACGCGUUCGGCCCAUAAUUAACACAGUCUAGAACCACUGCUGCCGCUCCAGUUCACCCUUCACAGACACUCCUUACUGUAGCGUGGUGCUGAGGGCUAGGCCAGGUUCAGACCAACAUGAGCCCUCCUUACUGUAGCGUGGUGCUGAGGGCUAGGCCAGGUUCAGACCAACAUGAGCCCUCCUUACUGUAGCGUGGUGCUGAGGGCUAGGCCAGGUUCAGACCAACAUGAGCCCUCCUUACUGUAGCGUGGUGCUGAGGGCUAGGCCAGGUUCAGACCAACAUGAGCCCUCCUUACUGUAGCGUGGUGCUGAGGGCUAGGCCAGGUUCAGACCAACAUGAGCCCUCCUUACUGUAGCGUGGUGCUGAGGGCUAGGCCAGGUUCAGACCAACAUGAGCCCUCCUUACUGUAGCGUGGUGCUGAGGUCUAGGCCAGGUUCAGACCAACAUGAGCCCUUCUUACUGCAGCAUGGGGCUGAGGGCUAGGCCAGGUUCAGACCAGCAUGAGCCCUCCUUACAGUAGCAUGGGGCUGAGGGCUAGGCCAGGUUCAGACCAACAUGAGCCCUCCUUACUGUAGCAUGGGGCUGAGGGCUAGGCCAGGUUCAGACCAACAUGAGCCCUCCUUACAGUAGCAUGGGGCUGAGGGCUCGGCCAGGUUCAGACCAACAUGAGCCCUCCUUACUGUAGCAUGGGGCUGAGGGCUAGGCCAGGUUCAGACCAACAUGAGCCCUCCUUACAGUAGCAUGGGGCUGAGGGCUCGGCCAGGUUCAGACCAACAUGAGCCCUCCUUACUGUAGCAUGGGGCUGAGGGCUAGGCCAGGUUCAGACCAACAUGAGCCCUCCUUACUGUAGCAUGGGGCUGAGGGCUAGGCCAGGUUCAGACCAACAUGAGCCCUCCUUACUGUAGCAUGGGGCUGAGGGCUAGGCCAGGUUCAGACCAACAUGAGCCCACCUUACUGUGUGUGUGUGUGUGAGUUUGAGGGGAGGGUAUACUGUGUGUGUGUAUGGGAGUAGCAUGGGGCUGAGGGCUAGGCCAGGUUCAGACCAACAUGAGCCGUCCUUACUAGCCUCCAUGCUGGCUCAAGCAGCAAUCCAACAUGUGCGCCAGUCCCAGGUAGGCCAGUGUUCUGCAGUACAGUUAACUCUACAUUUGGACACAAAAUGGCCGCUGCCUAUACUGUACAAUGGGCCUUGGUGCUUAGACAGACCACGGGUAAUCAUACUAUCGUAGAAAUGGUUGUGCUACUAUGUACAUCCUUCAUAAAACGUAGGUAUUGGGUUAAUGGAUAAAAAUACCUUACGCUGUAUGCUCCUAAUAACACGUAUACAACGUAUAUAAAACGUUUAUACAGCGUUUCGAUAAAGAGGAUAUUCGUCAGGUGAAAACUCUCACGUGAUCUAAACAUUGGCUAGGGCUAGUAACUGGAAGGUUGCAAGUUCAAAUCCCCGAGCUGACAAGGUACAAAUCUGUCGUUCUGCCCCUGAACAGGUAGUUAACCCACUGUUCCUAGGCCGUCAUUGAAAAUAAGAAUCUGUUCUUAACUGACUUGCCUAGUUAAAUAAAGGUGAGAAAAAAAACGAAAAAAACCCGUCAUUAAAGGCGUCUGUGAUCUUCUCCAAACCCAUCCCUCAGGUGUUCACCAAAACAGUGGCAGGGUGCCUGCUUUGUAGUUGUUUGAAGAGCGGAUUGCCCCUUUAAACGUGGUAUAAAGAGCAAUCAUACUAUCGCCCGCAUGACACCUACCCCAUCAGCACUGUAUAGUCAUGUGAUGGAGGAAAAUGGCCGCAAUCAGCUUGGCUUCCUCCAGCCUCACUGAUGAUACAGGUGAAAGGUGAAAGGUUAAAUGGAACAUGUGCUAGGCAUAAACAGUAGGAGCCAUUCUAAGAGGCAGAGCAACACGAAUAGAAAUACAAUGAGUCAUCUCUAAGGACAGCAGUCAAACACACACACACACACACACACACACACACACACACACACACACACACACACACACACACACACACACACACACACACACACACACACACACACACACACACACACACACACACACACACACACACACACACAAACAAACAAACAAACAAACACACACACACACACACAUGGACCUACACA